GUCUUUUUGUUUUAAAUUUAAAGUCUGGCCUGCCCACUGAGGAAUUAAAUGGCCGCGAUAUUUUGAUCGUGCUAAGGUAGCAUAAUCAUUAGUUUUUUAAUUGAAAGCUAGAAUGAAGGGUUGGAUGAAAAGGGAGCUGUCUUAAUUUAAUUAAAAUAGAAUUUUAUUUUUAAGUUAAAAAGCUUAAAUAUUAUUAAAAGACGAGAAGACCCUAUAGAGUUUUAUAAUUAGUAAAUUUUAAAUUUUUAGAAUUUAAUUUAUAAUAUUUAUUUAAUUAUUUAAUUGGGGUGAUUAAAAAAAUUAGUUAACUUUUUUAUAUUAUUAUAUAAUUAUAUAAAUUUUUGAUCCAAUUAUUUUGAUUAAAAGAAAUAAUUACCUUAGGGAUAACAGCGUAAUUUUACUGGAGAGUUCAAAUUAAUAGUAAAGAUUGCGACCUCGAUGUUGGAUUAAAGUUUAUAUUUGGUGUAGAAGCUAAAUUAUUAAGUCUGUUCGCACUUUUAAAAU
rnacentral:rRNA from 1 species